rnacentral:rRNA from 1 species
UACGGAGGGGGCUAGCGUUGUCCGGAAUUACUGGGCGUAAAGAGCUCGUAGGUGGUUUGUCGCGCUGUUCGUGAAAACUCACAGCUCAACUGUGGGCGUGCGGGGCGAUACGGGCAGACUAGAGUACUGCAGGGGAGACUGGAAUUCCUGGUGUAGCGGUGGAAUGCGCAGAUAUCAGGAGGGACACCGGUGGCGAAGGCGGGGUCUCUGGGGCAGUAACUGACGCUGAGGCGCGAAAGCCAGGGGGAGCAAACGGGG